rnacentral:rRNA from 1 species
UACGUAGGGGGCAAGCGUUGUCCGGAUUUAUUGGGCGUAAAGAGCGUGUAGGCGGCCAGGUAGGUCGGUUGUGAAAACUCGAGGCUCAACCUCGAGAUGUCGACCGAAACCAUCUGGCUAGAGUCCGGAAGAGGAGAAUGGAAUUCCCGGUGUAGCGGUGAAAUGCGCAGAUAUCAGGAGGAACACCGGUGGCGAAGGCGGUUCUCUGGGCAUUACCUGACGCUGAGACGCGAAAGCGUGGGGAGCGAACAGG